UCCUCCAGUGUAUUAAUAUGAAACCAGUCAAAAAAUGAGACAUUCUAAAUGGAAACAAAAGUCUUCAUUUCAACUGCAUUGGGAUUAAGUUCUUUCAUAAGGUAAUACAUGGGACACAAAAUAGAAAAUAUUGCAUCUAUUAGUAUAUUAGAUUAGACAGUUUUUCAAUUACUUUUAGUACCGAAAGUCUAUGAAUCAGUAAAAACAGUUUAGUUGAAACUGUUUCCUCUUAGAGCACAUUUCAAAACACUUUUCACAUAGAGAAGCAAAUUCAGCUCCAAAUUCAAUUCAUAUCCAAAUUUAUCUUUUAAGAGCAAUACCUAAUUUUCUCUCCAAAUGAGCUUAUAGAGUAUUUACUCAAAAAGAACAGAUACUGUCUU
rnacentral:lncRNA from 1 species